GGGAGGGGUGCAAGCGUUGUUCGGAAUUAUUGGGCGUAAAGAGCGUGUAGGGCGGUUCGGUAAGUCAGAUGUGAAAGCCCUGGGCUCAACCCAGGAAGUGCAUUUGAAACUACCAGACUUGAGUACGGGAGAGGAGGGGGGAAUUCCCGGUGUAGAGGUGAAAUUCGUAGAUAUCGGGAGGAAUACCAGUGGCGAAGGCGCCCCUCUGGACCGAUACUGACGCUGAGACGCGAAAGCGUGGGGAGCAAACAGGAUUAGAUACCCUGGUAGUCCACGCCGUAAACGAUGAGCACUAGGUGUAGCGGGUAUUGACCCCUGCUGUGCCGUAGCUAACGCAUUAAGUGCUCCGCCUGGGGACUACGGUCGCAAGACUA
rnacentral:rRNA from 1 species